rnacentral:ncRNA from 2 species
AUACCUUUGCCUCGCAUUGGUUCGAGACCUUUAUUCAGAGGAAUCGAUUAAAAGGGAAUCAGGUGGAAAUCCUGAACAGUCCCGCUGCUGUAAGUUUCAUACAAACGUUGUAAGCAUGUACCAAUAGCCACUGAAUCAAAAAAUUCGGGAAGGCGUUUACCAACGGAAACAAGUCAGAAGACCUGCCAUGCUAAUAUUUUUCAA